GUAGAGUAAGAAAAGCUUGGGAAUGUAAAUGACUUACCAGCAAGGGAAAAUUCUGGAAGAGAGCAACUGCAUCCAUCUGCCCAUCAAGGAAAAAAAAUUCUGAAAAUUUUUAAUCAGCUGCUCUUGGGGAAAGAGCUCUGUAAGAGAGCCGUGGAGUGGCUCAAUGACUUGCACAUUGACCGAGGCAUCCUUCUUUUGGAUGGUUUUCUGGUUCAUUGCAGAGAAGGUUGUCACUGAUUUGCUUUUUGAGAUGAUGGUGGUGGAAUAGCGGUGGAUGGCUGUCAUUUUGGUGAAAAUUGUUGGGUUAGGGUUUAUGAUAAAUGUUACUUCAAUGGAGGGAACCAGUGGUUGUCUCUGUGUUUGUGGUGGUGGAAGGUAUAAAGGGUGUCGGCUAGCUAUUUCUGGGCUUGCAUUUUUUAUGGGACAAGCAUUGGUUGAAGGAGCUUUUGUAUCGGUGUCAAUGGCAGAGAUAGUCGAUUGCUUUGGUUGGGACUGAGUCUGUAGAUGUGUUAGUGUAUGGUUGUGGUAUGAGGGAUUGAGAGAAUAUGAGUUCUCAUAGUAAGGAAAAUUGAUGGUUUUGGCCUUCAACCACAGCCCAACGCCCGAUUUGCCUUGAAAUUUCUUUGAUGCCAAGCUUUGAGUUUCAGUUAAGGAGUACUGUAUGCUAAUAUGACCCAUCAUCCUACAUAUUAGUUCUUCAAAAGAGAGAUCAAGGGGCUACUUUCAAAUUGAAAAAUAUGGUUAUAGAUAGGCCAUGGUCGGUUCUCCAAAACAAAAACCAUCUCAAUCUCAGGCAGAAGAUUAAAGGGAAACCUGUUGCCUUUCGUUGUAACAACUUAGAGACCUCAGUGUAUGCUCCAUGACUUCUCUGGUACAGCUUUGAAUGUUGUAGCACUAAAAGUUUUUUUGGGAAUUAAUUUUCCAACCAGUAGCUUUUGAAUGUUGUCAUGGUAGUUAAUGGUUCGUGCCAUUUUAAUGAUAUCCGAAAUAUUCCCAUCCUCCACAUCAAACAUGGUAG
rnacentral:misc_RNA from 1 species